UGCCCAACUCGGCCUCCCAAAGUGUUGGGAUUACAGGUGUGAGCCACCUCACCCAGCUUCGUUCCAUCUCUUAUACUUAAACAGUUGCCUCUUAUUUCCUGCCUCAGCCCUUUUGGGGUUUCUACAGCUGAUUCUACUAAUGGCUUCCAUCGACCAGUGCAGGCUUUUCUCAUUUCUUCACUCAUAUCUUGUAGAAUUUCCUUUCUGGGGUCUGUGGUCUUGUCAUUAUCAUAUUCUCAGAUACUGGAUUCUUAUGUUGGGUUCUUGUGUUUCUUUUAUGUACUUAUUUAUAUAUGCUUUCCUUGGUGGGCUCUGGUGCCUUUUAGGCUAACUAACUGAAAAACAAUGUAUCCACAAAAUUAAAAUGCACUUUUCCAGUCCAAUUGACCCAAACAGAAUUAUACCACCAAAUUAGUUUUACUAGUUUUCUGUUUUUUUCAGUGAUAUCCAGGGUCCUGUCUUAAGCCUUAGCUCUUGGUGGUUCACUUACCCCAUGUUACAGUUUUGUUACUGCAUUAUAAGUAUCCCCAAAUCUCAGUGGCUUAAAACAACAACCAUUUUAUUAUAUUUCAUGAGUUUCUGGGUUAGGAGAUUAGGUAGGGCUUGGCUGGGCAAUUCUUCUUCUCCACGUGGUCUUGACUUGGUAUUUAGCUGGCAGCUGAGCUAGCCUGGUGGGUCUAAGGUAGCAUGAUUUAGUUGCCAGGCACAUUGCCAGAGAUGGCUGCCUGGCUGAAUGGCUGGGCUGGGCCCCUUCCUUCUCCAUGUCAUCUAUAACCUUCCCACAUGAUAUCUUUAGAGGAGUAGAUAGAUUUCCUACAUGGCAGCUUGGGGCUCCAAGAAUAAAAGUCUUCUCAGAGUCAGGAAGUAAAAGCUACCAGUCUCUUAAGGCUAAGACCUGGAACUGAGACAUCAUUUGUGCUGCAUCCUAUCAGUUAAAGUAGUCAAAGAGCCUGCCCACAUUCAAGAGGAAAAAACAUAGGCCCCUCUCCGUAAAGGGAGGUAUCUCAAAUAAUUUGUGGCCAUCUUUAAUCCACCAUAUCCCAGCAAAGUUCUAUUCUUUGACAGCAGGCUUUUUAGGUAGCGUCACAUUUUCAGCAACUAUUGCUACUGCGUGCCUGUCUUCUGCAUAUUUCCUGGUUGCCUAGAUUACGAUGUCAUGAGGAACUGAUUAGGCCCUUUGCAACUGUGUCUUACAUGAGCCACUGUAGCUCAGUCCCAUCCCUUAGCUUGUUCCUCUCCUGCCCAAUCAGAAAGUUAUGUUUUACACCCAAGCCAGCUUCCGUUGUGACAUCACACAUAAAAUGUGCGUAAAAUGCUUACAUCAAUUGCAUUGGCUCCUAGAAUUCAGAAAUUGCAGUGACUUAAACAAGAGAGUCAUUUGUUUCUCUCUCACAUAAAAGGAAUUUGAAAGAACAGAGUCAAGAUCAGAUAAUAAAGCUCAGAGAGGAUAGCCACUUCCUCAAGGACACAGAAGACAAUAAGAAACGUUACACUUGGCAUCCUUUUGCACUAGGAAUUGUGCCAAAACAUGCCACUAAGGCAUUAUUCCAUUUUCAAGUACGUGCACGCCAUAUUCAGUCAUGAAGAUCAUAGUAACUCAUGAGUAACUCCUAGUAAUUCUUCAUCACUAACGAUGUAAAGAGGAGACAACUAGAGAAAUGGGCAUGUUACGAGAAAAUAAAGAUGAAAGAAAAAGAGUACUUCUCUCUCUAUUGCCUCCAAAUCUCAGGGAUUCACCAAGACAAAACUUGUUAAAAUUAAACAAGCUAAACAUAAACAACUACUUUCAAAUGUUUAUUUAUAUUCCAUAAGACAAAUUGGCUUACUUUGAUGACCCACUCCAGGAAGCUUCACUUGAUAACCUGGCAAUAUCAGUAACAUUCUUAGAUUCUAAUUAUGAGAGCUUGUUUGAAAGUUCUAGCAGGGAAGCGGAGCUACUUGUAUACCCUUGAGUGAACACCAGCCCUCCUCUGUCAGGGAUGGUCAUCCUCUUCAACCAAACAUGCAGCUUUGAGAGGCAUGCACAUGGAGAGGUGAGGAAGGAAGGGAACACUUGCCUAACCAGCCAGAUCAGCUGAAUCAACCCUGGAGA
rnacentral:lncRNA from 1 species